CUGCAGAGAUGGGGCAGCAGGAAUGCUGUGUAAAGUUUGAACCAGAUAUGAAAACCAUCAGAUUAAAUCUAGAACUACUUUUAAAAACUCAAAUAUGUAAGUAAAUUAGGAAAGUUUAGGAAGACGCUAUUAGGUUUAUUUCUAUUUAUUUUUUAAGGCUUAUGGACUCCUCUGUGAUAACCCCAGAUGCUUUUGUUUGCUUGUA